AUUGAACGCUGGCGGCAGGCCUAACACAUGCAAGUCGAACGAGUGGCGGACGGGUGAGUAAUGUCUGGGAAACUGCCCGAUGGAGGGGGAUAACUACUGGAAACGGUAUCUAAUACCGCAUACCAUCAGAUGUGCCCAGGUGGGAUUCGCUAGUGGGUGGGGGAACGGCUCACCUAGGCGACGAACCCUAGCUGGUCUGAGAGGAUGACCAGCAAAACGGGAACGGAGAAACGGUCCAGACUCCUACGGGAGGCAGCAGUGGGGAAUAUUGGACAAUGGGCGAAAGCCUGAUGCAGCCAUGCCGCGUGUAUGAAGAAGGCCUUCGGGUUGUAAAGUACUUUCAGCGGGGAGGCGUUACUCGCAGAAGAAGCACCGGCUAACUCCGUGCCAGCAGCCGCGGUAAUUC
rnacentral:rRNA from 1 species